UUUCCUGGGCCAGCCCGCACCCUGUCGCUGGGCCCGUGAUGUCUCGACUCUGGGAAACACGUCAGGCCUCUGCUGUGUGGAACAGUGAAUUCUGACAGCUGUGAGCGAGUUCUGGAGACUUGGGGGAAAGUGUGCUGAAGGGGGCCAGGUGGCGUCGCAGCUCCCGUCCUUGGAGGCUUAUCACCCACCGACAGAUAAACAGACUUGGCCCACAUGACUCACGAGGGAGGCUUAACUCCUUCUGAGAUUGCCAGUUCCCGGGAAACUGGGGGAAAAACAAGCAGAAAGAGGAAGGUUUGUUUGUUUGCUCGACAAAUGUUUACCGAGCACCGUGACGUGGCGGCCUGUCCUCAGCCUCGGAAGAUGCACAGCUCCAAGCAAGGCCGGCGAGUUCCCGGUCGUCCCGCAGUGUCCACUCCAGGGAGAGAGGACAAGAGGAAACUGGAUUCUCGGUCACAGCUGGUGACCUACAGUGCAGUGUAAGAAGGUUAGAACGCAUGAUGGUUAGACGGCAUCACCGACUCAAUGGACAUGAAUCUGAGCCAGCUUCAGGAGACAGUGGGGAACAGAGGGACCUGGCAGGCUGCAGUCCAUGAGGUCGCAGAGUUGGACAUGACCUAGCAACCGAACAACAACAAUCACUGUGUAAUCUGUUUAUGGGGGGAGGCACUGAUGACAUCCUUGGUGAACAAAGUGACUGAAGGUUAAGUGGUGAGCAGUGGCUUAUCUUCCAGAACGGCAGCUCCUGCAGGCGAUGGGUGUACGUGGCAGGGAGGAGACUAUCACAGAGCCGCAGCGUCCCUACUGACUCCUAGACCAAUGAGCUUCUGAUUCCUUUGUUCAGCUACGGGAUGGAGCCCUGGGCUUUUAUCCACGUUUCCUUAAGAAGUAAAGGCUGACUUUAUUGCACUUUGCAGAUACUGCGAUUGUUUUUUUGUUUUUUUUUUAAUUGAAGGUUUGGGGCAACCCUGUGAUGUCAGAUGAUGGUUAACUUUUUUUUUUUUUUUAGCAUUAAAAGUUUUUUUUUAAGUCUUUAUUGAAUUUGUAACAAUAUUGCUUCUGCUUUAUGUUUUGAUUGUUUGGCUGCGAGAGAUCUGAGCCGCCUAACCAGGGAUCAAACCCGUGCCUCUUGCACUGGAAGGUGAGGACUUAAUCACUGGACCACCAGGGAAGACCCCUGGCAAUAAAGUAUUUUAAAUUAAA